CCGCUUCCUCUCGUGCUCCGUUCUAAACUCCCGCCAUAGCAAAAGAAUACGAUACGAAACUGGAGCGGCAAAUGCAUUGAACUGAUUCGGAAGUGGCCCGGAAGUUCUAAUUGGUCAGCAGAGUCCUGGAAGAUUGUGCAGGACAAUCAGAUACUUUGAGAUACGUUGUAUGAGGCAAAUGACCAAAGCUUUAUCAAGCCAUGCUAUCAUGAUCUAGAGCAGUUGGAAUGAAGCACCAGCAGCCCUUUGUUUUGAAGCUCAGUCCUCAUAUGGGUUAUGAGAUCUUCUCGUAGAACAGGAGGUAGGCUUGGGAACUCUGCACUUUGGCCUCUGUAACCGGAUGGACACUGCUGUCGCUG